rnacentral:rRNA from 1 species
AUUGAACGCUGGCGGCAGGCCUAACACAUGCAAGUCGAGCGGAGCGGCGGACGGGUGCGUAAUGCCUAGGAAUCUGCCUGGUAGUGGGGGAUAACGUCCGGAAACGGGCGCUAAUAUCGCAUACUAUCAGCUGGGCCGAGGUCGGAUUAGCUAGUUGGUGGGGUAAAGGCCUACCAAGGCGACGCUCCGUAACUGGUCUGAGAGGCUGAUCAGUCACCCGGGAACUGAGACACGGUCCAGACUCCUACGGUAGGCAGCAGUGGGGAAUAUUGGACAAUGGGCGAAACCCUGUUGCAGCCAUGGCGCGUGUGUGAAGAAGGUAUUCGGAUUGUAAAGCACUUUAAGUUGGGAGGCGUUACCAACAGAAUAAGCACCGGCUAACUUCGUGCGAGCAGCCGCGGUAAUUC